rnacentral:rRNA from 1 species
AGCCGGAGGGAAACCGAGUCUUAAUUGGGCGUUAAGUUGCAGGGUAUAGACCCGAAACCCGGUGAUCUAGCCAUGGGCAGGUUGAAGGUUGGGUAACACUAACUGGAGGACCGAACCGACUAAUGUUGAAAAAUUAGCGGAUGACCUGUGGCUGGGGGUGAAAGGCCAAUCAAACCGGGAGAUAGCUGGUUCUCCCCGAAAGCUAUUUAGGUAGCGCCUCGUGAAUUCAUCUCCGGGGGUAGAGCACUGUUUCGGCUAGGGGGCCAUCCCGGCUUACCAACCCGAUGCAAACUGCGAAUACCGGAGAAUGUUAUCACGGGAGACACACGGCGGGUGCUAACGUCCGUCGUGAAGAGGGAAACAACCCAGACCGCCAGCUAAGGUCCCAAAGUCAUGGUUAAGUGGGAAACGAUGUGGGAAGGCCCAGACAGCCAGGAUGUUGGCUUAGAAGCAGCCAUCAUUUAAAGAAAGCGUAAUAGCUCACUGGUCGAGUCGGCCUGCGCGGAAGAUGUAACGGGGCUAAACCAUGCACCGAAGCUGCGGCAGCGACACUCAGGUGUUGUUGGGUAGGGGAGCGUUCUGUAAGCCUGUGAAGGUGGCCUGUGAGGGUUGCUGGAGGUAUCAGAAGUGCGAAUGCUGACAUAAGUAACGAUAAAGCGGGUGAAAAGCCCGCUCGCCGGAAGACCAAGGGUUCCUGUCCAACGUUAAUCGGGGCAGGGUGAGUCGACCCCUAAGGCGAGGCCGAAAGGCGUAGUCGAUGGGAAACGGGUUAAUAUUCCCGUACUUGGUGUUACUGCGAAGGGGGGACGGAGAAGGCUAUGUUGGCCGGGCGACGGUUGUCCCGGUUUAAGCGUGUAGGUGUGUGUUCCAGGUAAAUCCGGUUCACUUUAACACUGAGGCGUGAUGACGAGGCGCUACGGUGCUGAAGCAACAAAUGCCCUGCUUCCAGGAAAAGCCUCUAAGCAUCAGGUAACAUCAAAUCGUACCCCAAACCGACACAGGUGGUCAGGUAGAGAAUACCAAGGCGCUUGAGAGAACUCGGGUGAAGGAACUAGGCAAAAUGGUGCCGUAACU